rnacentral:rRNA from 1 species
GUAACGCCUGCCCUGUGGAAACCCUAAACGGCCGCGGCAAACCCGUGCAAAGGUAGCACAAUCACUUGUCCCUUAAAUAGGGACCCGUAUGAAAGGCAACAUGAGAGGGAACCUGUCUCCUAAGAUAAGCCAAUGAAAUUGAACUACCAGUACAAAAGCUGGUAUCUCCUAGCAAGACAAAAAGACCCCGUGGAACUUUAACAAGCCAUUAACAAAACUUAAUAUUAGUUUCGGUUGGGAAAACCACAGAAAAACUAAACUUCUGUACAAAUAUAGACCAACAAGUCUAUAAUCCACAAGAUCCAGUCACACUGAUUAAUGAAACAAGCUACCCCGGGGAUAACAGCGCCACCUUCUUUAAAAGUCCAUAUUAACAAGAAGACCUACGACCUCGAUGUUGGAUCAGGGUACCCUGACGGUGCAGCAGCUGUCAAAGGUUCGUUUGUUCAACGACUAAUACCCUACGUGAUCU